rnacentral:rRNA from 1 species
CCUACCAAGGCAAAGACGGGUAGGGGGCGUGAGAGCGUGACCCCCCACACUGGUACUGAAACACGGACCAGAUACCUACGGGUAGCAGCAGCAAGGAAUAUUGCCCAAUGGACGAAAGUCUGAAGACCAACGCCGCGUGGAGGAAGAAGGCCUUCGGGUUGUAAACUCCUUUUCUGGGGGAAGAGAAAGGACGGUACCCCAGGAAUAAGUCUCGGCUAACUACGUGCCAGCAGCCGCGGUAAU